AUGGAGCGGCGGAGGGCUGCGUGGGCCGCGGUGCUGGUGGCGGUGGCCGCGUGCGCGGCGCUGCCGGCGACGACGACGGCGAACAAGAUCAAAGUCAACUGGCUGCCCAACACCAACUACUCCGGCUGGGAGCAGGAGCACGGGCCCUUCUACAAGGGCGACUGGCUCGUGUUCUACUACACGGCGGGGCAGGCGGACGUGGUGGAGGUGAACGAGUCCGGGUACAACCGGUGCGACGCCAGCAACGCCAUCUACAACUACAGCAAGGGCCGCAGCUUCGCCUUCGAGCUCAACGAGACCAAGACCUACUACUUCAUCUGCAGCUUCGGCUACUGCCCCGGCGGGAUGCGGCUGGCCAUCAAGUCCCAGAACCUGCCGCCGCCGUCGCCGCCGCCCUCCGCGCAGCACCACCGCUCCGCCGCGCUCGCCGGGCCGCGCGCCGGGGUCGCCCUCUACGCCGCCGUCGCCGUCCUCGCCGCGCUCCUCAGGGCGGUCUAG
rnacentral:rRNA from 1 species